rnacentral:rRNA from 1 species
GACGAACCGUCCAAACGUUAUUCGGAAUUAUUGGGCGUAAAGCGCGCGUAGGCGGCUCGGCAAGUCGGUCGUGAAAGGCUGGGGCUCAACCCCAGGACUGCGUCCGAUACUUCCGAGCUGGAGGCAGGUAGGGGAGAUCGGAAUUCCUGGUGUAGCGGUGAAAUGCGCAGAUAUCAGGAGGAACACCGGUGGCGAAGGCGGAUCUCUGGGCCUUGCCUGACGCUGAGGCGCGAAAGCUAGGGGAGCGAACAGG